rfam:Populus trichocarpa scaffold_1_contig_14, whole genome shotgun sequence.
UAAUCUUUUUGGGUCUCAUCAUCUAGUUAUGGAAGAUCCACACUUGAGUGAACCGAAUCACUUGUUAUCGUAAAUCCGACUAUAUUUUUUUUAAACUCCAAAAACUCUCUCUCCAACUUGUUUUUAACUAAAAACAUCUCAAAAAAAAA